rnacentral:misc_RNA from 1 species
GUGCACUUGAAAAAUUCAGCAGCUAGACGAUGCGCGGAGGCGGCACGGCCACGGAACGCAGAGAGAGAAGGGAUUGUCUGGAUGGAUCACCGCGUGAUACGGUUUCCAGCAGGACGCGUCGGCAAACGAUGGAGUCGGGAUACGGAGGCAGCAACAGAGGGCGAAGGAACCAUCCUACUUUCGUACAACAACAAAAACGUGGAAACUAUUCGCGCAGGAAAUAUCCCCC